rnacentral:tRNA from 1 species
GGGCCCGUAGCUCAGGCGGUCAGAGCAGGCGGCUCAUAACCGUCAGGUCCCAGGUUCGAAUCCUGGCGGGCCCA